rnacentral:rRNA from 1 species
UAUCAAUAAGCGGAGGAAAAGAAACCCAACAGGGAUUGCCCCCAGUAACGGCGAGUGAAGCGGCAACAGCUCAAAUUUGAAAUCUGGCCCCUAGGGUCCGAGUUGUAAUUUGUAGAGGAUGCUUUUGGUGAGGUGCCGCCCGAGUUCCCUGGAACGGGACGCCACAGAGGGUGAGAGCCCCGUCUGGCUGGCCACCGAGCCUCUGUAAAGCUCCUUCGACGAGUCGAGUAGUUUGGGAAUGCUGCUCAAAAUGGGAGGUAUAUGUCUUCUAAAGCUAAAUAUUGGCCAGAGACCGAUAGCGCACAAGUAGAGUGAUCGAAAGAUGAAAAGCACCUUGAAAAGAGGGUUAAACAGUACGUGAAAUUGUUGAAAGGGAAGCGCUUGUGACCAGACUUGGGCGCGGCGAAUCAUCCGGGGUUCUCUCCGGUGCACUUCGCCGUGUUCAGGCCAGCAUCAGUUCGGCGCGGGGGAAAAAGGCUUCGGGAACGUGGCUGCUCCGGCAGUGUUAUAGCCCGUUGCAUAAUACCCUGCGCUGGACUGAGGACCGCGCAUCUGCAAGGAUGCUGGCGUAAUGGUCACCAGCGACCCGUCUUGAAACACGGACCAAGGAGUCGUCUUCGUAUGCGAGUGUUCGGGUGUCAAACCCCUACGCGUAAUGAAAGUGAACGCAGGUGAGAGCUUCGGCGCAUCAUCGACCGAUCCUGAUGUUCUCGGAUGGAUUUGAGUAAGAGCAUACGGGGCCGGACCCGAAAGAAGGUGAACUAUGCCUGUAUAGGGUGAAGCCAGAGGAAACUCUGGUGGAGGCUCGCAGCGGUUCUGACGUGCAAAUCGAUCGUCAAAUAUGGGCAUGGGGGGCGAAAGACUAAUCGAACCUUCUAGUAGCUGGUUUCC